AUAAAAGUCUUGAUCCAAGCUGGAGUUGGAUUUUAUUCCCUAUAUAAAGCUGGCCCCAAUCCCUAAAAAGUGCAUUGAAGUCACUGCGGCAAUAGAGGGCGCCAUCAACAAGAUUAAUCCAAUCAUCAAAUCCAGUCUUCAGAAUUUUGGCAUUGUUACCCAGGCAACUUGUACAUUUUUCUUUUUAUAUAUUUAAUAAUGUUUUUAUUAGUUAUAUACUUUGGGGAAGUUGGGCUAUUAGUUUGGGAAAUUUUCCUUGAAAUAGGCCUAUACUUAUUUGAAAGAAAAUUUCCCAAACUUCACCCAUGCCAGAGCAUACACAAGUUCCCUUUCCCAUACAGACAUGCAGCUGCAUCGAAAUUGUUGAUUUCAAACAAAACACUUUUCAGAACUGAUUUCAUGCUUUGGUUCUGACGUCACCACCUAUCCAUAUACAAUGUAUGAGCAGUCCACCCUAGUUAUCUGGGUCUGUGUAAAUAAUCACGCCCACAGCUCUUUGCUCCUUUGUAAAGGGUACAAGCUUUACUUUGUACAGGUGUGGUGCUAAAGGCCACUGGACCAUGCCAUUGAGCAUAUUUACACCACAAUAAACUACAAAGAGAUGUCCUACCCUCCAUUUUUUUGGGUGGUGCUAAAUAAACAAAGUUGGGGAUUUUUCUGUUUUGGAGGAUUGGGUGUACUUGUAAUCAACUAAUUUGGCUUGUACCUUGUAUGCUCACACCCUGCACCCUGGUAGCCAUCGCUUGGGUGCAAGAUUGGCAAUGGAAUCGUUUGCAUCACACUGAUAUCUUCUUAGCGCAGUACACAAUCCAGUGACCAUUGUAAGUAAAGAGUAGCGUACACAUUUCAAAUAUAACAAACUAUUUUUGGGAAAAAUUGAUGACCUUUCAAAACUUACUGCAGUGCCCCUCCCAAUUUAAUGUUCUACGACCAAGCCUGCUCUUGUGUCCAAUCUUUAAACCCAUGAAAUCCAAGAAGCUGAGAAAGUAUUUGCCUGUGCAUCGAUGUGUGCGCAUUUCAAGUUCGGAUAGUGAAGUGUUCUCAAUGAUCUUGCUGUUCCAUGAUGAAUGACAUCCAACUUAACCAUGGUUUGAACACCGCCUCAAAACCAAGGCAGAUGGUGGGUUAAGAAUCUGAAACUGGCCAGCGCUAACUGUGUUCUGCAUGAAUGUGCUGGAGAAAUAGGCCACUCAAACUACAAGCUAGGCAGUACAGCCAAGCUAGAUGAAUAGCAACCAAUAAGAUAUCAAAAUCACAGUUGGCAUUGGCUGUUCUAAUAUAUACACUUGUGUCAAAUUUGAGGGUGCAUCAAAUAUUGGGUUGUAUCAUAAGUCUCAAAACUCCAAGGGUCUCAACUUGAAGUCUUGGUUCGGUCAAAUUAAAUUUGCUUCUCAAAAAUUACAUUUAAUUUAAAUUAUUAAACUGUUCACACUGCAUAGAAUGAUAAUGUAAUGUAAGCAUGGAGCUAUAAACAGGUUUGUUCGAAUUUAUACAGACAGUUUUAUUGACAUAAAAUGGCCCAGCCCCCUUGCUACGAAAUGACCAAGACGUAAGUGCAAGAAAGUAAAAAACAAUUAUGCAAGGGUGCUACACAAAUAUGCAACUAUCGCUCUGAAGCACUGACGUCUUGGGCAAAGACUACAUGGAAUGCUGAUCACCAAUACAAAAUAUCAAAACAUCUUAUCCCAAUGCAUAGAAACUCAUAUGCAACUUUGUUACUUUUUUUCAAUAUGGUGCUUGAAUUUUAAACAAAAAAUACACAAUUAGACCUUGUAAACUGACAGUUUAAGAUGAGCAAUCUGAAAGAGUGAUCCAGUUCUUGGGUUUACAUAUAAAAGCUAUUUACAAAACUUAUUCUCCUCUAAAUCAGGCCAGUUCCUCAAAUAAGAUCAGCCCCACCAGAUCCAAAAAGAAAGGUACAUUUUCACUACAAGAGCCUGAUUUCUCAAUCCAUCUGCUAUAUUUCUUCAGUACCAGGCUUGUCAAAAGUAUCUAUUUGAGACAGUCAUGCAAACGUAAUGUUUGAAAAUAUUUGAAAUUUACAAAGGAAAUUUAAGUUUUAAAUGUUAAUACAGCAAGUUAAUCAAAAGCUAUUAUACCAUAAAUGAUUCUUAUGGUAAGAAACAUUGUAAAAUCUGUGUACAAUUAUGUGACACUGGGAUGCACCCUAUCACCAGUCGGAGGACCAAGCUUAUGGAAAAGGUAUAGCCCAAUUUUUAAGUACUUGUUUAAAAUCAAUAUAGUUGAUUUACAGCAUAUUUUGUUCAACUGUGUUGGUAUAUGAGGAUUAAAUGCUGCUCUAAUAAAUGUGCACCCAGAACCAUAUUUCUAACUUGAGCAUUAUUCAUAUUACAUUGUAAAAAAAA